AUUUCAAGGACCGCAUUCGCUGCCUCCUUCCUAAAGAGGCCUGAAGAAGCUGAUAGCGGACCCCGAGCGCGCGCGCGCCUUGGCGGGAGCCCUGCGCCUCCCGGGGUCUCCCUGCUCCUUACUUGGACCUCGGGCGCAAGGUCCCCUCCGCGCAGAGCUGAAGCCGCGGCGGGCGGCCCACGGGGGAUCAGACCCUCGGGCAUCCGCGUUUCCCCUCCGCCGUCCGCCGGACCCCCACCUCUUCUCCAAGCUCCACUCCCGACUUUUCUUCCCCGCCCCCGGGAAGCUCUGGAAACCCGCACCCCCGGCUCUGAGGUCAGGGCUGGCAGGAGUAAUCCACCCUUUCCAGGUGUGUGGCGCAAACACGGACGCAAAGAUCUCCCCUAGGGUCUGUAACAAUUUCCAGGCUGAAAGGUGAUAACUCCUUCUCCUUCCAUAACAUACCUUCCCCCCGCCCCCACUUCCUUUACUAUCCUAACUUUGGGAGGAAUAUUGAUUCUUGAUCAAAGUAAAUGCACUGUCUUACCUUUGGUAUCGGCACAGGCUGAGGUGGUUUUUUCCCCCCUUAACUAUUAUGAUAAGUGUACAAGGUUUUCAGGGUGACUGCGGUGCUACAACUUUAUAACAACUUAAAGCAAAAGCUCUUAGGCGCUGGGGAAAAAAGCUGGACCCCACUCUGAAAUCUCGAUUCAGAAAUCUGGUGUGUGUGCGUGUGCGUGCCUGCAUGCGUGUGUGUGUUCAGGCUUGAGUAGAUUUAAAAAGCACCUCAGGUGAUUGUGAUGCCCGCCCCCGCAACAUACCCCCAAGUAUCUGUAAGGUCCGC
rnacentral:lncRNA from 1 species